CUACCCGCAAGGGCCAGGGUAUCCGAUGGGAGGUACUUCGGAUUUCUUUCAUUGCAGCCCAUAUCCCGCCUUUAUGCCCAAUCCACCCUUUUACCCACCUUACCCACAGUACCCCAUGUUUCCACCCUCAUCCUUCUACCCAGGUCCAGCAAACCCUAAUCCAGGGAAUGCUGCACCUCCUCCUCCACCAGCAGAGCCAAUAGUCCCUGAUGUCCAGAUACCCAAACCUGGUUCAUCAGUUGGGGGUAAAGUAAAGAUGAC
rnacentral:lncRNA from 1 species